GGUAAAGGCUAUAAUUGCAUUUCUAAAGAGCUAAGUAGGAAGUUGGAAAAAGGAAAAAGAGAAGAGACAGAAAAAAUAAUUAAACUAUCUCUUAGAAAAAUGGGAGUAUUCAGUGACAGUUUGGGGCGGAUCACAAAGGGUCCUAUGUUCUCCUUGUAUGCUACCCUACCCAACCUCUAGGCUCUUCUUCCUCCACUAUCUCCUGUAUAUUGAUCUUCUCAGAGUAUAGAUCUGAUCAUGUUGUUUUCCACUUCAAACAAAAUAGAACAUAACACUUCACUAGCUCCUUGUUGCCCAAUGAAUAAGGAACAAAUUCUUUAGAUAAGUUUUGAAACUUUUUUCCUACUUUCUUCUACCAAUCUUAUUCUUUGGCUAAUUUAGUCAUUUUCCAAAUGCUCCUUACUUUUUCAAACCUCUGUGCUUUUGCUUUUGUGCCAUUCUGCCAUUCCUUUUUUUCUAGAAUGCUCAUUCCCUGUCUCUACCUAGGAAGACUUGCCCACCUUUGAGGGCCUAAUGCAAAUGUGAUUUCUUACUGGGUGAGAUCUGAGGGUGAGGUGGGUCCUGCCUUUAAUCCCUGUGCUUUGGGGAGGAUCACUGGAGCCCAGGAGUUCGAUGUUCCAGUGAGCUAUGAAUAUACCACUGCACUCCAGCCUGGGCAACAGAGCCAGAUCCCUGUCUCAAAGAAAAAAAAAAAAAAAGUAAAAAAAAGAAAAGAAAUGUGAUUUCCUUCAUCCAGUUGUACUGUCAUUCCAGGUAGAAGUGACUUUUAUCUAUACUUGGCUAAGCUUAAUUUUUAAAAACUUUAAGUAUAAUUUACAUGUACUUCCUUACAUACUUACCUAAAUGUAAGCAUACAGGUUGAAGAAGUUUCACAAACUGAACACACUGGAAUAAUCAAGAAUCAGAACACUACUAGCACCCCAGAAACCCUUUCUCCAGUCACUACUCCCACCUAAGGGUAACUACAACUCACACUUUAGGGUAUAGAUUAAUUUUGAACUUUAUAAAAGUGGAAUUAUAACAUGUGUACUCUCUUGGAUCUUUCUCCUAACAUUAUGUUUGAAAGAAAAUUUGAGUUUAUUUUUUUUAAGGUGUCUGGUUGCAAGAAACAGAAACCAAUUUGAAAUGGCCUAAACAAAGAAGGGAGAAUUUAUUACAAGAAUUUAAGGGCCAUAUGAAGAGGGCAGUAUUUGGGGAACAAGAAAGAAGGGGAUCAGUUUUGGAAAGCCAUUAGGAAUCUGGGAUAUAUUCUCUUUCCAUCUUUGAUCUCUGCAUUUCUGCCUUGUGUCCAUGUUACUAUUCUCCUCUUGCUUUAGCUUUCUCUGUCAAUGUUUUUUCUGAAAGUCUUAAUGCUGGAAUGAGGCCCAGAUAACCAUGGGCGGAAAUUAAACUGAUGUUAAUUUAGUAUUGACACUCUGCCUGUCCUUCCCAAACUUCCCCUAAAGACAUAGCUCACAGGAGUCUUAAAAUUAUGCCAUAAAAUAAAAUAGACGAAAGAGUAUUACCAGUACCUUAGAAAGCUGGAAUGGUUGACUUCUGUGUUUGCUUAAGAGAAACUUCCACUUUCAUUGCCUCAUUGUUCACUUUCAUUCCACGUAAGAUUUUAAGAUCAAAAAACACUUUUUCGGCUGGGCGAGAUGGCUCACUCCUGUAAUCCCAGCACUUUGGGAGGCGGUCGGAUCGCUUCAGCCCAGGACUUCUAGACCAGCCUGGGCAACAUGGUGAAACCCCAAAGCCUCCAACCUUCUCUUUUUUCUUUGGACAUACUAAAGGCCAGCCAGUCUGUGGGUAUGUGCUGAAUCCAAUCUUUGCUUCCCAAAUAAAAUGUUUUAAAUUUAGAGAUUAGUCUUUAUAUUUUAUCUGACUUCAACACAGCUAUGGGCUGAUCUGUAGAACUCAAUAUAGAAAUCUACUGUCCUGGUCAAGACUGGUAGAAAUACUCUCUUUACAAAUCAUAUCUGUGUUAAUUUUGAAUCUGCAAGUGAGUAAAAUAGGAAUUUGCUCUCUCAUCUCUUGGAAAUUUGAUCCAAAUCUAUAGACAUUGUGGUCGGAGAACAGUGAAUGCAUGAAGAGAAUGGUCCCAUAAAGUUGAGAUCGAGGAGCCAUUUUUUGCCGUGAGCUUUCUAACGGAAGAGUAGAGCAGACAGUGUGUGGACCUUUCAAGAGACAGCCUUGGUUCUUAGAAUAUUUAUUCAGUUUUCACUGAUUCUUUUGCUACAGGUUAGCUAACCAUGUAGCAGAUGCUUGAGUUUCACCUUUCUCCAGUCCAGCAGAAUUAUAUUUUGAUGACCUCCAUUUUGAUGCUUGUAGACCAGCUCUAAUCCAAAGAUUGAUCUUUAGGUAACAGAUGGAGAGUGAUAAGGAUAACUUCUGUGAAGACAAACCCAUGCACACAUCCUGUUGUCCGAAUAAUGUUUAAAUGAAUCCUUCUGCUCCCAAGCCAUCAACUUGCCCCUUAACACACAUCUUUCUAGAGCCCAAAUUUGAGCUCCUUGUAGAAGAUCUUUGCCCUCUUCACUCUCCAGGCCUUCCUAAUUAACGUCUUCUCAGAGUUUACCUUCUCUCUGUCUUAAUCAUUAGUUAAAAGAAAAAGUGGCUGGUGUAG
rnacentral:lncRNA from 1 species